CCUACGGGAGGCAGCAGUGGGGGAUAUUGCACAAUGGGGGAAACCCUGAUGCAGCGACGCCGCGUGGGUGAAGAAGCGCCUCGGCGCGUAAAGCCCUGUCAGCAGGGAAGAAAAUGACGGUACCUGAAGAAGAAGCCCCGUCUAACUACGUGCCAGCAGCCGCGGUAAUACGUAGGGGGCAAGCGUUAUCCGGAUUUACUGGGGGUAAAGGGGGCGCAGACGGCGAUGCAAGCCAGGAGUGAAAGCCCGGGGCCCAACCCCGGGACUGCUCUUGGAACUGCGUGGCUAGAGUGCAGGAGGGGCAGGGGGAAUUCCUGGUGUAGCGGUGAAAUGCGUAGAUAUCAGGAGGAACACCGGUGGCGAAGGCGGCCUGCUGGACUGCAACUGACGUUGAGGCCCGAAAGCGGGGGGAGCAAACAGGAUUAGAUACCCCUGUAGUC
rnacentral:rRNA from 1 species